AUUGAACGCUGGCGGCAGGCCUAACACAUGCAAGUCGAACGAGUGGCGGACGGGUGAGUAAUGUCUGGGCAACUGACUGAUGGAGGGGGAUAACUACUGGAAACGGUAGCUAAUACCGAAUACAAUCAGAUGUGCCCAGAUGGGAUUAGCUUGUUGGGGGGGUAACGGCUCACCAAGGCGAAGAUCCCUAGCUGGGCUGAGAGGAUUACCAGCCACACUGGAACUGAGCCACGGUCCAGACUCCUACGGUAGGCAGCAUUGGGGAAUAUUGCACUAUGGGCGCAAGCCUGAUGCAGCCAUGCCGCGUGUAUGAAGAAGGCCUUCGGGGUGUAAAGUACUUUCAGCGGGGAGGCGUUACCCGCAGAAGAAGCACCGGCUAACUCCGUGCCAGCAGCCGCGGUAAUUC
rnacentral:rRNA from 1 species